rnacentral:rRNA from 1 species
UACGGAGGAUCCAAGCGUUAUCCGGAAUUACUGGGCGUAAAGAGUUGCGUAGGCGGCAUAGUAAGCAAAGUGUGAAAUAGUAUGGCUCAACCAUACGCCCAUACUUUGAACUGCUAAGCUAGAGUAUGGUAGAGGUCACUGGAAUUCCUAAUGUAGAGGUAAAAUUCGUAGAUAUUAGGAGGAACACCGAUGGCGUAGGCAGGUGACUGGACCAUUACUGACGCUUAGGCACGAAAGCGUGGGGAGCGAACGGG